UACGUAGGGUGCAAGCGUUGUCCGGAAUUAUUGGGCGUAAAGAGCUCGUAGGCGGUCUGUCGCGUCGGAUGUGAAAACCCAGGGCUCAACCCUGGGCCUGCAUUCGAUACGGGCAGACUAGAGUUCGGUAGGGGAGACUGGAAUUCCUGGUGUAGCGGUGAAAUGCGCAGAUAUCAGGAGGAACACCGGUGGCGAAGGCGGGUCUCUGGGCCGAAAUUGACGCUGAGGAGCGAAAGCGUGGGGAGCAAACAGG
rnacentral:rRNA from 1 species